AGAGUUUGAUCCUGGCUCAGAACGAACGCUGGCGGCAGGCCUAACACAUGCAAGUCGAACGGGCCCUUUCGGGGGUCAGUGGCAGACGGGUGAGUAACGCGUGGGAACGUGCCCUUCAGUUCGGAAUAACCCAGGGAAACUUGGGCUAAUACCGGAUACGCCCUUUUUGGGGAAAGAUUUAUCGCUGAGGGAUCGGCCCGCGUCUGAUUAGCUAGUUGGUGGGGUAAUGGCUCACCAAGGCGACGAUCAGUAGCUGGUCUGAGAGGAUGAUCAGCCACACUGGGACUGAGACACGGCCCAGACUCCUACGGGAGGCAGCAGUGGGGAAUAUUGGACAAUGGGCGCAAGCCUGAUCCAGCCAUGCCGCGUGAGUGAUGAAGGCCCUAGGGUUGUAAAGCUCUUUCGCACGCGACGAUAAUGACGGUAGCGUGAGAAGAAGCCCCGGCUAACUUCGUGCCAGCAGCCGCGGUAAUACGAAGGGGGCUAGCGUUGUUCGGAAUCACUGGGCGUAAAGGGCGCGUAGGCGGCCUUGUAAGUCGGGGGUGAAAGCCUGUGGCUCAACCACAGAAUUGCCUUCGAUACUGCGAGGCUUGAGACCGGAAGAGGUAAGUGGAACUGCGAGUGUAGAGGUGAAAUUCGUAGAUAUUCGCAAGAACACCAGUGGCGAAGGCGGCUUACUGGUCCGGUUCUGACGCUGAGGCGCGAAAGCGUGGGGAGCAAACAGGAUUAGAUACCCUAGUAGUCC
rnacentral:rRNA from 1 species